GAAGGCAUCCGUGCCCGGCGGCACGGCCGGGCUUCAAACCCGGUUGGGGGCGUCAGACGUUCCCAGGUAGGUUCGACUCCUGCUGCCUUCCGCCA
rnacentral:tRNA from 1 species